rnacentral:rRNA from 1 species
AUUGAACGCUGGCGGCAGGCCUAACACAUGCAAGUCGAACGAGUGGCGGACGGGUGAGUAAUGUCUGGGAAACUGCCCGAUGGAGGGGGAUAACUACUGGAAACGGUAGCUAAUACCGCAUACCAUCGGAUGUGCCCAGAUGGUAUUAGCUCUUAGGUUGGGUAACGGCUCACCUAGGCGACGAUCCCUCGCUGGUCUGAGAGGAUGACCAGCCACACUGGAACUGAGACACGGUCCAGACUCCUACGGGAGGCAGCAGUGGGGAAUAUUGAACAAUGGGCGCAAGCCUGAUGCAGCCAUGCCGCGUGUAUGAAGAAGGCCUUCGGGUUGUAAAGUACUUUCAGCGAGGAGGAGGGAAGCGAAGAAGAAGCAUCGGCUAACUCCGUGCCAGCAGCCGCGGUAAAC